rnacentral:lncRNA from 1 species
GCUGAUACAUCAGCGAGUACCUAGUGAGUACUCUCUCCGUUCCUAAAAAAUCAAUAUUCUAGAGAAAAUUUUUUUUUAAAAAAGAUACAUAUUUUAUAUUUUUAAUGUAAUUUUUGUCAACUAAUAAUGAAAAAUUGUGAAGUCCAAGAACAUUCAUUGUAUUUCUUAAAAUCUUAUUGGUUAAAAAUAUAAGAAAUAUAAAAUUACAAAAAGCUAUGCAUUUACAGCUAUGCUUUAAUAUAUUUUAUUAAAAAGUGUGAAAAUUUUAAAAUAUGGAUCUUUUAGGAACGGAAAGAAUAUUAAGAUAAGAAAAAAAACAAAAAAAAAUGUAAAAAAGAGGAGGGCCAUGAAGAUCGAUCGACUCUCGCGGAAGAGACGUCAACUAAUCCCCUAGAGACUAUAAAGAAAACGUGUCAUCUUCCUAAUAGUUGAUGACAAACAAUUAUUACAUCUGUAGUGGUUGCUGUUUUUAAUUAAUAAAGUACUAGAUUUUUCACCCGCACAUCCGUGCGGGUAGAUUUUCAUUUUGUAAAUAUAUAACAAAU